GAUGAACGCUAGCGGCAGGCUUAAUACAUGCAAGUCGAGGGGCAGCAGGGAUAGCAAUAUUCGCUGGCGACCGGCGCACGGGUGCGUAACACGUAUACAAUCUGCCUUUUACUGGGGGAUAGCCUUUCGAAAGAGAGAUUAAUACCCCAUAAUAGUUGACCAGGCAUCUGGUUGAUUUGAAAGCUCCGGCGGUAAGAGAUGAGUAUGCGUCUGAUUAGCUAGUAGGUGAGGUAACGGCUCACCUAGGCCACGAUCAGUAGGGGAUCUGAGAGGGCUAACCCCACACGGAUACUGAGACACGGAUCCGACUCCUACGGGAGGCAGCAGUAAGGAAUAUUGGACAAUGCCCGCAAGGGUGAUCCAGCCAUGCCGCGUGCAGGAAGACGGCCCUAUGGGUUGUAAA
rnacentral:rRNA from 1 species